rnacentral:rRNA from 1 species
AAGCAAAGCAGCGAUGUGGAGCAAACCCCUAAAAAAUGGUCUCAGUUCAGACUGCAGGCUGCAACCCGCCUGCAUGAAGUCGGAAUUGCUAGUAAUCGCGGAUCAGCAUGCCGCGGUGAAUACGUUUCCGGGCCUUGUACACACCGCCCGUCACACCAUGGGAGUCGGAAAUGCCCGAAGCCGGUGACCAAACCAAUAAGGAAGGAGCCGUCGAAGGCAGGUCUGAUAACUGGGGUGAAGUCGUAACAAGGUAAC